rnacentral:piRNA from 1 species
UUAUUAAUGGGCCCAUCACAGUGCUGUC